GCGGGAGUAGCUCAGUGGUAGAGCAUCAGCCUUCCAAGCUGAACGUCGCGGGUUCGAAUCUCGUCUCCCGCU
rnacentral:tRNA from 1 species